CGGGCUGUAGCGCAGAGGUUAGCGUACAAGUCUGGGGGACUUGUGGUCGGUGGUUCGAGUCCACCCAGCCCGA
rnacentral:tRNA from 1 species